rnacentral:rRNA from 1 species
AGUGAACGCUGGCGGUAGGCCCAACACAUGCAAGUCGAACGGCAGCACAGUAAGAGCUUGCUCUUACGGGUGGCGAGUGGCGGACGGGUGAGGAAUACAUCGGAAUCUACUUUUUCGUGGGGGAUAACGUAGGGAAACUUACGCUAAUACCGCAUACGACCUACGGGUGAAAGCAGGGGAUCUUCGGACCUUGCGCGAUUGAAUGAGCCGAUGUCGGAUUAGCUAGUUGGCGGGUUAAAGGCCCACCAAGGCGACGAUCCGUAGCUGGUCUGAGAGGAUGAUCAGCCACACUGGAACUGAGACACGGUCCAGACUCCUACGGGAGGCAGCAGUGGGGAAUAUUGGACAAUGGGCGCAAGCCUGAUCCAGCCAUACCGCGUGGGUGAAGAAGGCCUUCGGGUUGUAAAGCCCUUUUGUUGGGAAAGAAAAGCAGCAGGUUAAUACCCCGCUGUUCUGACGGUACCCAAAGAAUAAGCACCGGCUAACUUCGUG